rnacentral:rRNA from 1 species
GACAGAGGGUGCAAACGUUGUUCGGAAUUACUGGGCGUAAAGCGCGUGUAGGCGGCAAGCCAAGUCGGGUGUGAAAGCCCUGGGCUCAACCCAGGAAGUGCAUUCGAUACUGGCAAGCUAGAGUACUGGAGAGGAUGGUGGAACUCUCGGUGUAGAGGUGAAAUUCGUAGAUAUCGAGAAGAACACCGGUGGCGAAGGCGGCCAUCUGGACAGAUACUGACGCUGAGACGCGAAAGCGUGGGGAGCAAACAGG